rnacentral:rRNA from 1 species
UACGGGGGGGGCAAGCGUUGUUCGGAAUUACUGGGCGUAAAGGGCUCGUAGGCGGCCAACUAAGUCAUACGUGAAAUCCCCCGGCUUAACCGGGGAACUGCGUCUGAUACUGGAUGGCUUGAGUUCGGGAGAGGGAUGCGGAAUUCCGGGUGUAGCGGUGGAAUGCGUAGAGAUCCGGAAGAACACCGGUGGCGAAGGCGGCCUGCUGGGCAGUGCUGACACUGAGGCGCGACAGCGUGGGGAGCAAACAGGG